GAUAUUUCAGUUUACAAUAAAGUGUGCUCUAAAUGCGGAAUGGAGUAUAGGUAUCAAGAAUGGAGUGACGGUCUUCACAAUUACGAUGAUUCAACAUUCAUUGGGUUUGAUGCUUGUCAUCUAAUUAGAGCUGGCUUACAGAAUCAUGUGGCAAUUAGUAGAACGAUAAACAUGCUGGCAGAUACACUAGACGAAAAUCUGAGGCUUCAUGACCUAACGAAUGCUUAUUUGAUGUUUGAAGCACUAACUGAGCAUUCAUAUUCUUUCUACUGCUAUCUGUGUGGCUUCUAUCCGACAACGAUUGUGAUGGACGGUAUACGAAAGACUUGUUUUCGACAUGCCGUUUCAGAUAUGGUUGCACCGGCAGAUUUUACAGAAUUACCCGAAACAGUUGAUAUGGAUUCAUUUUGGAAGAAAGUGGAACAAGAGUUGAUAAGUCCUGGAGUCAGACAUGGUAAACA